UGGUCACCUUGUUUCAGUACACUGCAAGGAAAAUAAUGACUUUGUCCUAAAUUUAAUAUGAAAUGCAAAUAUCACAUUUCAUAAGGUUUGGCUUGGUAGCUCCAAUUUCUACAAAAAUGGUAGAGAGUUGUGGAUGGAUGGAUCCCAAUGGGAUUAUCAUAACAGGCUUUUAAGAAAACCUGUAAAUGGCUCACGCUGCCAAGCAAUGAAGACGCAUGAGGAGGAUACUGAUUAAUGCUGACAUGUUACUGCAUGAAUAUUUUUCAUCUUUGUCCAAGUCUCAAACAUCAAUCCAGAAAUGCCCUAUACAGGCUCUGACAUCUUCCCCAGACCUAGCAGAGUCGGGAAAUUUGGGGCCCUACCUGGUGGGCAGGGACCUGAAGGCCCUGUUGGACAGCUGGUACACA